rnacentral:rRNA from 1 species
CUACGGGUGGCAGCAGUGAGGAAUUUUGCGCAAUGGGCGAAAGCCUGACGCAGCAACGCCGCGUGAGUGAUGAAGGCCUUCGGGUCGUAAAGCUCUGUCAAGUGGGAAGAACCUAUGUAAUGUUAAUAUCAUUAUAUACUGACGGUACCACUGAAGGAAGCACCGGCUAACUCCGUGCCAGCAGCCGCGGUAAUACGGGGGGUGCAAGCGGUAUUCGGAAUCAUUGGGCGUAAAGGGCACGUAGGCGGCCUGGUCAGUCAGAUGUGAAAGCCCGGGGCUUAACCCCGGAAGUGCAUUUGAUACUGUCAGGCUUGAGUAUGGGAGAGGGAAGUGGAAGUCCUGGUGUAGAGGUGAAAUUCGUAGAUAUCAGGAGGAACACCGGCGGCGAAGGCGACUUCCUGGACCAAUACUGACGCUGAGGUGCGAAGGCGUGGGUAGCAAACAGGAUUAGAUACCCCGGUAGUC